UACAGAGGGUGCAAGCGUUGUUCGGAUUUACUGGGCGUAAAGCGCGUGUAGGCGGGUUGCCAAGUCCGCUGUGAAAGCCCGAGGCUCAACCUCGGAGGGUCGGUGGAUACUGGCAGUCUUGAAGUGGCUAGGGGGAGAUGGAAUUACCGGUGUAGCGGUGAAAUGCGUAGAGAUCGGUAGGAACACCAGUGGCGAAGGCGGUCUCCUGGAGCUAACUUGACGCUGAGACGCGAAAGCUGGGGGAGCGAACGGG
rnacentral:rRNA from 1 species